AACGAACGCUGGCGGCAUGCCUAACACAUGCAAGUCGAACGAGACCUUCGGGUCUAGUGGCGCACGGGUGCGUAACGCGUGGGAACCUGCCCUUAGGUUCGGAAUAACUCCCCGAAAGGGGUGCUAAUACCGGAUAAUGUCUUCGGACCAAAGAUUUAUCGCCUUUGGUUGGGCCCGAGUUGGAUUAGCUAGUUGGUAGGGUAAAAGCUUACCAAGGCAGUGAUCCGUAGCUGGCCUGAGAGGGUGAUCAGCCACACUGGGACUGAGAGACGGUCCAGACACCUACGGGAGGCAGCAGUGGCGAAUCUUCCGCGAGGGGCGAAAGCGGGAAGGAGCGACGCCGGGGGAGUGACGAAGGUCUUCGGAUCGUAAAACUGUGUUAUGAGGGAAGGAUAAAUGUGUAAGUUACUCUGCACGUAUUGACGGUACCUAGGGAGAAAACCACGGCUAACUCCCUG
rnacentral:rRNA from 1 species